rnacentral:piRNA from 1 species
GAGGAGAUGGCAAAACGGGAUGCUGAG